UACGGAGGGUGCGAGCGUUGUCCGGAUUUACUGGGCGUAAAGAGCGCGCAGGCGGCCAAGUCAGUCGAAUGUGAAAGCCCCCGGCUCAACUGGGGAGGGUCAUUCGAUACUGCUCGGCUCGAAGACAGGAGAGGGAAGUGGAAUUCCCGGUGUAGUGGUGAAAUGCGUAGAUAUCGGGAGGAACACCAGUGGCGAAGGCGACUUUCUGGCCUGUUCUUGACGCUGAGGCGCGAAAGCUAGGGGAGCAAACGGG
rnacentral:rRNA from 1 species